rnacentral:rRNA from 1 species
CCUAUCAGCUUGUUGGUGAGGUAAUGGCUCACCAAGGCGACGACGGGUAGCCGGCCUGAGAGGGUGACCCGCCACACUGGGACUGAGACACGGCCCACACUCCUACGGGAGGCAGCAGUGGGGAAUAUUGCACAAUGGGCGAAAGCCUGACGCACCGACGCCGCGUGAGGGAUGACGGCCUUCGGGUUGUAAACCUCUUUCAGUAGGGAACAAGGCUACACGUUGUGUGGUUGAGGGUACCUGCAGAAGAAGCGCCGGCUAACUACGUGCCAGCAGCCGCGGUAUACGUACGGCGCAAGCGUUAUCCGGAAUUAUUGGGCGUAAAGAGCUCGUACGCGGUUUGUCGCGUCUGCCGUGAAAGUCCGGGGCUCAACUCCGGAUCUGCGGAGGGCACGGGCAGACUAGAGUGAUGUAGGGGAGACUGGAAUUCCUGGUGUAGCGGUGAAAUGCGCAGAUAUCAGGAGGAACACCGAUGGCGAAGGCAGGUCUCUGGGCAUUAACUGACGCUGAGGAGCGAAAGCAUGAGGAGCGAACAGGAUUAGAUACCCUGG